rnacentral:tRNA from 1 species
GCGAGAGUGGUGGAAUUGGUAGACACGCCAGCCUUAGGAGCUGGUGCGUAAGCGUAAGGGUUCGAGUCCCUUCUCUCGCA